CCGAGUGAAGGGCCUCAGGGCCCGACCUCCCACCCUUUGACAAACAUCCGGUUUGCCUCGGGGGUGACCCGGACGUCCGACGGCCGGGUGCCCCCGGAGGGACACCUACUCUGCGUUUUGGCGUCGGAGUCGAAUGGAAAAUUGAAACGA
rnacentral:misc_RNA from 2 species